UAGUUAAAUAACAAAACUACUCGCCAGAGAACUACUAGCCACUGCUUAAAACUCAAAGGACUUGGCGGUGCCCUAGACCCUCCUAGAGGAGCCUGUUCUAUAAUCGAUAAACCCCGAUACACCUCACCCCUUCUAGCUUAUCAGUCUAUAUACCGCCAUCGUCAGCUCACCCCAACAGGGUCCCAAAGUGAGCAAGAUCAUGAAAUCAUAAAAACGUUAGGUCAAGGUGUAGCACAUGAAGGGGGAAGCAAUGGGCUACAUUUUCUAUACUAGAACAUAACGGAUUGCCUAUUGAAACAAAGGCAUGAAGGAGGAUUUAGUAGUAAAUUAAGAAUAGAGAGCUUAAUUGAAAUAGGCAAAGGGUGCGUACACACCGCCCGUCACCCUCAUCG
rnacentral:rRNA from 1 species